UACGGGGGGAGCAAGCGUUGUUCGGAUUUACUGGGCGUAAAGGGCGCGUAGGCGGCUUUGCAAGUGACGGGUGAAAUCCCACGGCUUAACCGUGGAACUGCCUGUCAGACUGCAUGGCUUGAGACCAGGAGAGGUGAGUGGAAUUCCCAGUGUAGCGGUGAAAUGCGUAGAUAUCGGGGAGGAACACCAGUGGCGAAGGCGAGUCUCUGGGCUGAUACCGACGCUGAGGCGCGAAAGCCAGGGGAGCAAACGGG
rnacentral:rRNA from 1 species